AAGGCUUUCGGAAAGCUGCGUUUUGGGGUGGGUUUGAAAACUCUCCUCUCUUGCUCUGUUUUUCUUUUUAGACAACUUUGCACAAGAGGCAAGGCUCCUGCCAAAAGCCCUCGUAAUGCCCCUCUUUGGGGACUGAAUUUAUCCGCUCAGCUGUCCCUCGUAAAUUUAUUCCUGCGUGAGAUUUUUCCCAAACCAUUCAUUCCUCCGCUUAGCUCAGGCAGCUGGAAUGCAGAAAAAAAUACAUUUUUUUCCUUUCUUUCUUUUUUUUUUUUUUUUUCCAAGAAUGUGCCUUUUGUAUGCUGGGAGGGGCCGGGCUACAGAGCAAAAACAAAAGCGAGCUACAACACAGACGGACACCAGGCUGUGCACAGCCCCAUGAGGCACGCGUGCUGCCUGGGGCUACUGAUGGGUGGCAGGGGGCGCCUGGCACCCCACCCGGUGUGUGCUGAGUGGGCCAUGGGUCCUCAGCCUGGGACACAGCCAGAGAAACACCUCACUGGCUGUUUCCAUGGCAACAUCACAGUUGCACUGGAAUGGAAAGCCUCGGUGGGUCAGAGCCAGGAGGGCUUUCCAGCUUCUCGUGGUGUGCACAACGUUGGGCUGUGGAGCUUUGACUUGAUUUUUCCUCGAGUGAUUAUGGUUCCCGAGGCAGGAUCUCGUGAGGACCCACAACUUGGUAGAAGUUCUGGGGGAGCAGGUGCUCUAGAUGGAUCCUGUCAAUGAUGGCUGCCUGGCAUGGUGCAGACAGGCCCUUCAGAUGAUGGACAGGACAUUGAACUUGGAGGCUGACACAGGAGGAGCCUGCUCCUGUAUCUCGCAGCCUCAAGAAGGGAGAGAGCCUGUGUGAACGCAUAUUCCUUCACUGCAAGUACAGGUAGUUUCCACCGCAGGGUGCACCAGCAUCCUCUGCAAACUUUGAGAACACAGAUGCUCAGCGGCCACCAAGCCCAAGGAGGCAGAGCUCUGGACUGUGCCCAAAGGCUGCCGCUAACAAGCACUGUGGUGACUCCGGCCUCCACAGCCAGCCAGCCCACACCACAUGGCCUUUGUAACUCACCCAGCGAAUGAUGCUCUAGCAGCUCAAUGUAAAGCUGCCUCGAGUGAGAUCUCUCUGGAGGGAGGAGCCGUUUCAGCAAGAGAAAAUGCAGCACCAGGAGCCUGCAGGCCCCACCCUGAGGGGAC
rnacentral:lncRNA from 1 species